rnacentral:rRNA from 1 species
UACAGAGGUCUCAAGCGUUGUUCGGAUUCAUUGGGCGUAAAGGGUGCGUAGGCGGCGCGGUAAGUCGGGUGUGAAAUUCGUGCUUAACUCCGAAACUGCAUUCGAUACUGCCGUGCUUGAGGACUGGAGAGGAGACUGGAAUUUACGGUGUAGCAGUGAAAUGCGUAGAGAUCGUAAGGAAGACCAGUGGCGAAGGCGGGUCUCUGGACAGUUCCUGACACUGAGGCACGAAGGCCAGGGGAGCAAACGGG